rnacentral:tRNA from 1 species
CGUCAGGUAGCUCAAUGGUUUAGAGCAGUCGCCCGGCAAGCAAAAGACCCGGGUGUUCGAUUACCCGGUCUAGCGA